CAGGCCUAACACAUGCAAGUCGAACGGAGCUUAUUUGGAAAGCUUGCUUUUCGUUUAAGCUUAGUGGCGGACGGGUGAGUAACGCGUGAGCAACCUGCCCUUCAGUGGGGAAUAACACCGAGAAAUCGGUGCUAAUACCGCAUAAUGUCGGAGGACCGCAUGAUCCACCGACCUAAGGAUUUAUUCGCUGAAGGAUGGGCUCGCGUCCGAUUAGGCAGUUGGCGGGGUAACGGCCCACCAAACCGACGAUCGGUAGCCGAACUGAGAGGUUGAUCGGCCACAUUGGGACUGAGACACGGCCCAGACUCCUACGGGAGGCAGCAGUGGGGAAUAUUGGGCAAUGGGCGAAAGCCUGACCCAGCAACGCCGCGUGAAGGAUGAAGGUCUUCGGAUUGUAAACUUCUUUGAUUGGGGAAGAAAAAAAUGACCUACCCAAAGAACAAGUCACGGCUAACUACGUGCCAGCAGCCGCGGUAAUACGUAGGUGACAAGCGUUAUCCGGAUUUACUGGGUGUAAAGGGCGUGUAGGCGGCUUUGCAAGUCAGAAGUGAAAUUCCCGGGCUUAACCUGGGCGCUGCUUCUGAUACUGGGGCACUUGAUUACGGUCGAGGCAGGCGGAAUUCGUCGUGUAGCGGUGAAAUGCAUAGAUAUGACGAAGAACACCGAUUGCGUAGGCAGCCUACCAGGCCGUUAAUGACGCUCAUGCACGAAAGUGCGGGGAUCGAACAGGAUUAGAUACCCUGGUAGUCCGCACAGUAAACGAUGAAUACUUGCUUUCGGCGAUAGAUGGUCGGAGGCAAAGCGAAAGCGAUAAGUAUUCCACCUGGGGAGUACGCCGGCAACGGUGAAACUCAAAGGAAUUGACGGGGGCCCGCACAAGCGGAGGAACAUGUGGUUUAAUUCGAUGCUACGCGAGGAACCUUACCCGGGCUUGAAAGUUAGCGACGGAGGCUGAAAGGCCUCUUCCCUUCGGGGCGCGAAACUAGGUGCUGCAUGGUUGUCGUCAGCUCGUGCCGUGAGGUGUCGGCUUAAGUGCCAUAACGAGCGCAACCCUUUUCUCCAGUUGCCAGCAAGUUAAGUUGGGGACUCUGGAGACACUGCCAUCGCAAGAUGUGAGGAAGGAUGGGAUGACGUCAAAUCAGCACGGCCCUUACGUCCGGGGCGACACACGUGUUACAAUGGGAGGGACAGAAAGCUGCGAAGUGGUGACACCGAGCCAAUCUCCAAACCUUCUCCCAGUUCGGAUCGGAGUCUGCAACCCGACUCCGUGAAGCUGGAUUCGCUAGUAAUCGCGCAUCAGCCAUGGCGCGGUGAACACGUUCCCGG
rnacentral:rRNA from 1 species